UCAGACAACGAGUGGAUCGAGAUCGGGAAAUGGCGUUGGUGUGGCUUGAAGCGGCUCUGCCUCUCGGAAUCAUUGCCGGAAUGUUAUGCGUGAUGGGAAAUGCUCAGUACCACAUUCACAAGGCUUAUCAUGGCCGGCCGAAGCACAUCGGUCACGACGAGUGGGAUGUUGCCAUGGAGAGACGUGACAAGAAGGUCUCCUCCUGAUACCCUUCCUAGUGCAGGGGCCUGAGGUUGACAAUGUCGGUAACGGAUCAAGAGCUUUUCAGAGAGUUGGAGGAUCAUAUGCUAUCCUUCCCAUUUCAGUUUCCUUUGGUAUGCUAGUUUUGAGAAAGCUUUUCAAGCUAAAAGAGGCUAUUUAGUCUACUUUGUCCAUUUGUAGAAGGUUGUUUCUUGGUUGGUUUUCUCUUUCAAUUGCCGAUUCUUGUGCUUGCUUGCUGAGUUUGAAUGGUAAUGAACUUCACUCUCCUGGAUGUUGUCUGGAGGAAUGGAUCUCCCAAGUGAUGCCUUGUUGGCCCGUGUCA